rnacentral:lncRNA from 1 species
CCCGGAGGCCUUUCCAAGCUGGGAGGAACCAGACAUGCUUCAGCUUCAUUAACAGCUCCCUCAGACUGCAGGAAACAUCCUGAGGUUUCUACACUGCAACUUCCAGGAGGCAAUGGCCACUUCUUUUUGGUUCCUGAUGGUGUCUGGAUUCAACCCUUCUUUUGAGGUACUAUUUUCUCGUAUCUCUUAACCUUACUAUUUUUGGAACCGUUCCCAUGAUUUCUUUUUAAAAAAUUAAUUUGUGUGUUAUGUAUGUGGUAUAAAGGUGUGUGUGUGUGUGUGCGUGUGUGCAUUUGGA